CCUACGGGAGGCAGCAGUGGGGGAUAUUGCACAAUGGGGGAAACCCUGAUGCAGCGACGCCGCGUGGGUGAAGAAGCGCCUCGGCGCGUAAAGCCCUGUCAGCAGGGAAGAAAAUGACGGUACCUGAAGAAGAAGCCCCGGCUAACUACGUGCCAGCAGCCGCGGUAAUACGUAGGGGGCAAGCGUUAUCCGGAUUUACUGGGUGUAAAGGGGGCGCAGACGGCGAUGCAAGCCAGGAGUGAAAGCCCGGGGCCCAACCCCGGGACUGCUCUUGGAAAUGCGUGGCUAGAGUGCAGGAGGGGCAGGAGGAAGUCCUGGUGUAGCGGUGAAAUGCGUAGAUAUCAGGAGGAACACCGGUGGCGAAGGCGGCCUGCUGGACUGCAACUGACGUUGAGGCCCGAAAGCGUGGGGAGCAAACAGGAUUAGAUACCCCAGUAGUC
rnacentral:rRNA from 1 species